rnacentral:rRNA from 1 species
CUUACACAUGCAAGUCGAACGGUAACAGGUCUUCGGAUGCUGACGAGUGGCGAACGGGUGAGUAAUACGUCGGAACGUGCCCAGUAAUGGGGGAUAGCUCGGCGAAAGCCGGAUUAAUACCGCAUACGCCCUGAGGGGGAAAGUGGGGGAUCGCAAGACCUCACGUUAUUGGAGCGGCCGAUGGCUGAUUAGCUAGUUGGUAGGGUAAAGGCCUACCAAGGCGACGAUCAGUAGCUGGUCUGAGAGGACGAUCAGCCACACUGGGACUGAGACACGGCCCAGACUCCUACGGGAGGCAGCAGUGGGGAAUUUUGGACAAUGGGGGAAACCCUGAUCCAGCAAUGCCGCGUGUGCGAAGAAGGCCUUCGGGUUGUAAAGCACUUUUGUCAGGGAAGAAAUCCUUUGGGCUAAUACCCUAGGGGGAUGACGGUACCUGAAGAAUAAGCACCGGCUAACUACGUGCCAGCAGCCGCGGUAAUACGUAGGGUGCAAGCGUUAAUCGGAAUUACUGGGCGUAAAGCGUGCGCAGGCGGUUGUGUAAGACAGGUGUGAAAUCCCCGGGCUUAACCUGGGAAUUGCAUUUGUGACUGCACGACUAGAGUGUGUCAGAGGGGGGUGGAAUUCCACGUGUAGCAGUGAAAUGCGUAGAUAUGUGGAGGAACACCAAUGGCGAAGGC